UGUUUCCUAAAUUAGGUGAGGUGCCUGACAGAUAAAUGAAAAUGAGUAAGGUAGCCAUGGCAACUAAUUGAACAAAACAAAACAGAGAUGGCUGUGGUAAUGGCAAUAAUACUCCUUGGCAGGAGGGAGAAGAGGGCCACAGAACCUUCAACAGGGACUUCACCAUUGUUCCCUUCUGCUGGCCUAUAUAUGGCUCCAAGUGGUCUUGGGAGAUGCUAGUGUGUACAGACAUGGAAAGUCAGCUGAAGGUGGACUCUAUGAUGCAGCCUCCACAAGGUCAUCAUCCUUGACAUGCUGGAACCUUUCAGUGAUGCACCUACACUCUUUUAAGGAACCCUCCACAUAUGUUCUGUAAGUAAGCCCAAUAAACCCAUUGCUUCGCCAA